GAUGAAGAACGUAGCGAAAUGCGAUACGUAAUGUGAAUUGCAGAAUUCAGUGAAUCAUCGAAUCUUUGAACGCAUAUUGCGCUCUCUGGUAUUCCGGAGAGCAUGCUUGUUUGAGUAUCAGUAAACACCUCAACUUCCAUAUCUUUUUUGAAAUGGGAGUUGGACUUGAGUGAUCCCAACGCUUUUCCUCACCGAAAAGUGGCGGGUUACUUGAAAUGCAGGUGCAGCUGGACUCUUCUCUGAGCUAUAAGCAUAUCUAUUUAGUCUGCCUAAAAAACAGAUUAUUACCUUUGCUGCAGCUAACAUAAAGGAGAUUAGUUCUUGUGCUGACUGAUGCAGGAUUCACAAAGACGGCUUCGGCCGACUUUGUAAACUCGAUCUCAAAUCAAGUAAGACUACCCGCUGAACUUAAGCAUAUCAAUAAGCGGAGGA
rnacentral:misc_RNA from 1 species